GAUGAACGCUGGCGGCGUGCCUAAUACAUGCAAGUCGAGCGAACGGACGAGAAGCUUGCUUCUCUGAUGUUAGCGGCGGACGUGUGAGUAACACGUUGAUAACCUACCUAUAAGACUGGGAUAACUUCGGGAAACCGUAGCUAAUACCGGAUAAUAUUUUGAACCGCAUUGUUCAAAAGUGAAAGACGGUCUUGCUGUCACUUAUAGAUGGAUCCGCGCUGCAUUAGCUAGUUGGUAAGGUAACGGCUUACCAAGGCAACGAUGCAUAGCCGACAUGAGAGGGUGAUCGGCCACACUGGAAGUGAGACACGGUCCAGACUACUACGGGAGGCAGCAGUAGGGAAUCUUCCGCAAUGGGCGAAAGCAUGACGGAGCAACGCCGCGUGAGUGAUGAAGGUCUUCGGAUCGUAAAACUCUGUUAUGAGGGAAGAACAUAUGUGUAAGUAAAUGUGCACAGCGUGACGGUAACUAAUCAGAAAGCCACGGCUAACUACGUG
rnacentral:rRNA from 1 species